rnacentral:piRNA from 5 species
AAUCUCAGGGUCGUGGGUUCGAGC